rnacentral:rRNA from 1 species
GGAAUAUUGGACAAUGGGCGCAAGCCUGAUCCAGCAAUGCCGCGUGUGUGAAGACGGCCUGCGGGUUGUAAAGCACUUCUGCGGGGAAAGAGGGGCUGGCGCGCGAACAGCGCGGCUGGUUUGACGGUACCCUGCGAAUAAGCACCGGCCAACUCCGUGCCAGCAGCCGCGGUAAUACGGAGGGUGCGAGCGUUAAUCGGAAUUACUGGGCGUAAAGCGCGCGUAGGCGGCCGAUCAAGUCCGAUGUGAAAGCCCCGGGCUCAACCCGGGAAUUGCGUUGGAGACUGGUGGGCUAGAGUGCGACAGAGGGUGGUGGAAUUCCCGGUGUAGCGGUGAAAUGCGUAGAGAUCGGGAGGAACAUCGAUGGCGAAGGCAGCCACCUGGGUCGACACUGACGCUGAGGUGCGAAAGCGUGGGGAGCA